UACGUAGGGUGCGAGCGUUGUCCGGAAUUAUUGGGCGUAAAGAGCUCGUAGGCGGUUUGUUGCGUCUAUCGUGAAAACCUGCAGCUUAACUGUGGGCUUGCGGUGGAUACGGGCAGACUUGAGUUCGGUAGGGGAGACUGGAAUUCCUGGUGUAGCGGUGAAAUGCGCAGAUAUCAGGAGGAACACCGGUGGCGAAAGCGCUCUGCUGGACUGCAACUGACACUCAGGGACGAAAGCUAGGGGAGCGAAUGGG
rnacentral:rRNA from 1 species